AUGAAGCUGGAAUCGCUAGUAAUCGCGAAUCAGAAUGUCGCGGUGAAUACGUUCCCGGGUCUUGUACACACCGCCCGUCACACCAUGGGAGUCAGUAACGCCCGAAGCCGGUGACCUAACCGAAAGGGAGGAGCCGUCGAAGGUGGGACCGAUAACUGGGGUGAAGUCGUAACAAGGUACC
rnacentral:rRNA from 1 species